UGGCUCCCUUUGGUUAAAAUAUUUGCAUUAGAUGCUAAAUAUACAAAUAACAUAUUUUAGCCUUUUUUUUUUUUGAGACAGAGUCUUGCUCUGUCACUCAGGCUGGAGUGCAGUUGCGUGAUCUCAGCUCACUUCAACCUCGGCCUCUGGGGUUCAAGGGAAUCUCCUGCCUCAGCCUCUUGAGUAGCUAGGAUUACAAUCACCUGCCACCACACCCAGCUAAUUUUUUUUUUUUGUAUUGUCUGUAGAGAUGGCAUUUCACCGUGUUGACCAGGCUGGUUUUGAACUCCUGACCUUAAGUGAUUUGCCUGCCUCAGCCUACCAAAGUGCUGGGAUUACAAGGUGA
rnacentral:lncRNA from 1 species